UACGGGGGGGGUAAGCGUUGUUCGGAAUUACUGGGCGUAAAGGGCUCGUAGGCGGCCAACUAAGUCAUACGUGAAAUCCCUCAGCUUAACUGGGGAACUGCGUGUGAUACUGGAUGGCUUGGAUUUGGGAGAGGGAUGCGGAAUUCCAGGUGUAGCGGUGAAAUGCGUAGAUAUCUGGAGGAACACCGGUGGCGAAGGCGGCAUCCUGGACCAAUAUUGAUGCUGAGGCGCGAAAGCCAGGGGAGCGAACGGG
rnacentral:rRNA from 1 species